rnacentral:sRNA from 1 species
UUUUGCCUGCAUAUACCCUCAUUAAUUAAAAUUCUUUUUAAACGAAAUUCGAUGUACUAACCCUGUAUCUACUGCAGGGCUGCCAGUACCAAACAGGAGUUGGACAUUCUUUGAUCUUGACGGCAGCGAGGCGGAUCUGCUGAAUAAGUUAUGCUUUUUCGACAUCUUGAUUGCACUUCCGGAUCCCAGGGUUUUACUCGUGGCCAUACUGAAAUUCAACGGGGUGGUGGAUGCAAAUGUGUCUCUAACGAUGAAAGGGCUGUCAUGGCAUCAUCGUGCUCCUUUUUUUGCCUGACGAGCUCAUCUUCGUGUUUGUUCUUCAGUGCUGCAACUUCAUCUGUACGGUUUCGUUUACUGCAAGAAUCAAUAUUCUUUACUUAUCUCCAUAAUCAUCUACAUGGGCAUUUAUACCAAAGGAAAUCCAUCAAAGUAGUCGUAUAUUUGUUACAUCUAUACAUCUUUAAACUGUACACAGUCUACAAAAUAAUAUUUUUAAAUAAAAGAAUUACUGUUUG